GCACACGGAGACGGUUCCAGUUCCCCACAGCAGCCCUGCCUGUAAUGCCAACAGCUGAAAACAACCAAAAUGAACAGGAGAAUCAACAUGAGAACCGUGGUGUGUUACAACUGCUACAGAGCAAUGAAAAGAAACAAACCACGAUUACACCAAUGAGGAUGAGGCUCCCAGACUUAAUGGGCUGUUCCAUGGAAAGAGAAGCACACAUUUGGUGUCAGGAGUAUGAAGUUAAGGAAGUUAUAGAGCAACUGAGACUCGGCUAGAUGUAAGGAAGAACUUCCUGCCAGUGCCAGUG
ensembl:lncRNA